rnacentral:rRNA from 1 species
GAUGAGCAUGCGUCCCAUUAGCUAGUUGGUAAGGUAACGGCUUACCAAGGCUACGAUGGGUAGGGGUCCUGAGAGGGAGAUCCCCCACACUGGUACUGAGACACGGACCAGACUCCUACGGGAGGCAGCAGUGAGGAAUAUUGGACAAUGGGCGCAAGCCUGAUCCAGCCAUGCCGCGUGCAGGAUGACGGUCCUAUGGAUUGUAAACUGCUUUUAUACGAGAAGAAACACUGAUUCGUGAAUCAGCUUGACGGUAUCGUAAGAAUAAGGAUCGGCUAACUCCGUGCCAGCAGCCGCGGUGAUACGGAGGAUCCAAGCGUUAUCCGGAAUCAUUGGGUUUAAAGGGUCCGUAGGCGGUUUAAUAAGUCAGUGGUGAAAGCCCAUCGCUCAACGGUGGAACGGCCAUUGAUACUGUUAAACUUGAAUUAUUAGGAAGUAACUAGAAUAUGUAGUGUAGCGGUGAAAUGCUAGAGAUUACAUGGAAUACCAAUUGCGAAGGCAGGUUACUACUAAUGGAUUGACGCUGAUGGA